ACCACGCUAACACCACGCUGAAGUCUCUCUCAUUUUCGUUUUGCUCACAUUGUGUAAAACUGUGUUAAUUAUUCACUCCACUGAAGCCAGUCGUUUCUACAGUUAUAUUCAGUUCUUGUCAUCGAGUAUUGUAUACUCAGGCUAGCUAAGUAUAUUGUAAAACAGCCGGCUAUUACAAGGCUGAAGAGAAACUGGGCUAAACUCUGUGCAUUAGCACAAGAAAAACUUGACUGUGCCAAUUUAGAGGACCUACUUAGACCUAUUUGAAGAUGUAGACGAUAAGCCUGCAGAAGAUGUCACACAUCCAAAUUCACUUACUGUAGAGGUUCUAGAAGAGACUCUUUUGCCAACAAUGUAAAUAUAUCUGGUUCAUUGCAGGGUGAUCUGCAAUUUCUGGACAUUCCUGCUGCAGAGCUUCAACAAGACAUAGAGGAAAUAAUCUCAACUCAGAGGAUCCUCUGAAAGAUAGAGAAGGAAGGGAGUUUGAAGCUGUACCAACCAGUUUUGUCUAUUAUGGGUAUCAACUGCUUAUGUUUGGUUUUUUAUUAAGACGAUUAUUAAUGCAUAGAAUUUUUCAUGUUUAACCAUUGUUUGAUGACUUUGUCCGAGAUGCCAAUAACGUUCCUGCAACAACCUUUAGCUCAUGAACCCUUUUGGAUCCAACAAUUUAGGAGAAAAUUGCUUUGGAGCUGCUCUUGUUGAUGAGCUUAUAACGGACAGGAAAAAACUAAUUCCGCACUUGCUAAAAAACUGCCAGUGGCUACUGCACCAAAACUGCAAGUGGCUCCUGCUCAAAACCGGCCAGUCGCUCCUGCCCAAAUACUGCUAGUCGCUCCUGCCCAGACACCAAAAUUUGUGGAAUCGAACACCGGUCUCCGGCGUUCUAGCCGGAACCUCUACACAUAUGCCAGCGGUAUCUACGAAACCACGCACAAACAGCUAGCUAUUUUUUUUGAGUAAGGAAUGUUUCAAAGCCUUAGCUCAACAUUUCCAACUGUCGCUUAAAAAAACACACCCCCUGAGGGAUUCAUAAAUGACCUGACCUGUUACUUGCCCUGAAGAAAAAAAGCAAGGUGUAGACAACCGUCAUCUCCUCACCCCGUCUACCCUACCUAUAAAAAAAAAAAUAAACGCGUUACCCUGCCAAAAGAUGGCUUUCAACAUUUGAAUCGGUGUUCGGAUUUUUGUGCAGGAUACUGUACGUAUAGAAGAACUCUACUAGAGUGCCACGUAGCGGUAGAGCACUAUCGCAUCUAUCUAUAGUAACUGAGAUCGGCAACCAUAAUUA